UCGGUUAAAAUGGCAGGCUUUGAGCCAUGAGACCAUGGUUCGAUCCCUCCUAGUGCC
rnacentral:tRNA from 1 species